rnacentral:rRNA from 1 species
AAUAGAUACCCGGGUAGUCCACGCCGUAAACGUUGGGCGCUAGAUGUGGGGGCCAUUCCACGGUUUCCGCGUCGUAGCUAACGCAUUAAGCGCCCCGCCUGGGGAGUACGGCCGCAAGGCUAAAACUCAAAGGAAUUGACGGGGGCCCGCACAAGCGGCGGAGCAUGCGGAUUAAUUCGAUGCAACGCGAAGAACCUUACUAAGGCUUGACAUAUACGAGAACACUACAGAAAUGUAGGACUCUUUGGACACUCGUAUACAGGUGGUGCAUGGUUGUCGUCAGCUCGUGUCGUGAGAUGUUGGGUUAAGUCCCGCAACGAGCGCAACCCUCGUCGCAUGUUGCCAGCACGUAAAGGUGGGAACUCAUGUGAGACUGCCGGGGUCAACUCGGAGGAAGGUGGGGAUGACGUCAAAUCAUCAUGCCCCUUAUGUCUUGGGCUUCACGCACGCUACAAUGGCCGGUACAAAGGGCUGCAAUACCGUAAGGUGGAGCGAAUCCCAAAAAGCCGGUCUCAGUUCGGAUUGAGGUCUGC